GACGAACGCUGGCGGCGGGCUUAACACAUGCAAGUCGAACGGAAAGGGCCUGCUUGUGUGGGGUGCUCGAGUGGCGAACGGGUGAGUAACACGGGAGUAACCUGCCCUGGACUUUGGGAUAACUUCAGGAAACUGGGGCUAAUACCGGAUAGGAGCUCCUGCUGCAUGGUGGGGGUUGGAAAGCUUCGGCGGUUGGGGAUGGACGCCCGGCUUAUCAGCUUGUUGGUGGGGGAGUGGCUUACCAAGGCUUUGACGGGUAGCCGGCCUGAGAGGGUGACCGGCCACCUUGGGACUGAGAUACGGCCCAGACUCGUACGGGAGGCAGCAGUGGGGAAUAUUGCACAAUGGGCGGAAGCCUGAUGCAGAAACGCCGCGUGCGGGAUGACGGCCUUCGGGUUGUAAACCGCUUUCGCCUGUGACGAAGCGUGAGUGACGGUAAUGGGUAAAGAAGCACCGGCUAACUACGUG
rnacentral:rRNA from 1 species